CCAAUACAGUGGAAAGAUUGGUGAUGUGCAUAAAAUGUCCAAAUGUCAUCAGUUUGACCGGUUUUAAGUAAAUUAAAAUCUGUGAAAACGUCGAAACACAUUUCUGAUAAGACUUCAGCUAGUCUUGGGUGUUAUUUUAUGUGGUUGAAAUACUGUCCGCUUGCUUAUUAAUAACAGUGUCAAAGAUAACACGUUACACGCGCAUUUGCUUUUUCUCAAGAAAUCAUAUUUCUCCACUCCUGUUCCAGAGACAAAAUGAACAUUUGUUGUAUAAUUUCACUGAAUGAAAUGCAAAAUUCUGCAGGUCUUUAUAUUACGUUACAUGUGAGAGGAUAUAGGUCUACAGUCAGUGUCCAUAUUUCAGUUACUAUUCCAUUUAACCCAUAUGAAUUUAAAUGAGGAACAUUCAGUUUAUUCAUGGGUGGGACAUCAAAGGUGCAUGUAAACAGCCUAUCCUGAAUAAGACCUGAAGCGGGAAAUGAGCUACUAUCCAGAAUACUGUGUGCAUGGUCAGUGAUGCAGUAGGUUGAGAACAGGGCCCUUACAGUGAUGCAGUAGGUUGAGAACAGGGCCCUUACAGUGAUGCAGUAGGUUGAGAACAGGGCCCUUACAGUGAAGCAGUAGACUGAGAACAGGGCCCUUACAGUGAAGCAGUAGGCUGAGAACAGGGCCCUUAUAGUGACGCAGUAGACUGAGAACAGGGCCCUUACAGUGAAGCAGUAGGCUGAGAACAGGGCCCUUAUAGUGAUGCAGUAGACUGAGAACAGGGCCCUUAUAGUGAAGCAGUAGACUGAGAACAGGGCCCUUGUAGUGAAGCAGUAGGCUGAGAACAGGGCCCUUGCAGUGAAGCAGUAGACUGAGAACAGGGCCCUUACAGUGAAGCAGUAGGAUGAAAACAGGGCCCUUGCAGUGACGCAGUAGACUGAGAACAGGGCCCUUAUAGUGAAGCAGUAGACUGAGAACAGGGCCCUUACAGUGAAGCAGUAGGAUGAAAACAGGGC
rnacentral:lncRNA from 1 species